rnacentral:lncRNA from 1 species
GGGAGAGAAACCAUGAAUACACUAAUAUAAAAGCUGCGUCUCGAAAAUGUUUCAUCAUACCGUAUUUAUGAUUAUUUUAAUUAAUAAAAAUUCUUAAAUAGAAUGACUCCAUCUUUGCUCGUCCAAACGAAAUUUAACCCGCUUUCUAUCCAUCGUUCUUUGAGAUAAUGUGUAUUGCGCAUGAUCGUCGGCACUUGGUCGUCGAAAAUAUCAAACAAGACAGAUAAACCUAUGCUCGCCGGUCAUGCUUCUAUGAAUUGUGGGGUAUUGUGAUCAAUCAAUCAAAUUUCAUAUUACAAAAUACUACGUGCGUUCUAGCUUGUAUGUAUACAAUGGAGAAACAUUGUGAAAUUAAAAAAAAAUUGCCGAAGAACAAAGAUAUGGUCACAUUCAUAGAACAAAAUAAAAAAAAAAUGGACAUUGGAAAACUUGACAAAGAUUUUACUAAACAAAAUUUAAUGGAAUUAUGGAGAGAGUUAGCAGAAAAGUUAAAUUCUUGUUUGGCAGCCAAUAAAUCCAUAUUGGAUUGGGGAAAAAUAAGUUAAAAAUUUUGCAAUUAUUACACUUAAAUUAAUUUAAUAUCUUUUGACCAAAAUUAAUAUCUGAAUAUAUGCGAUUUCUCAUCUCCAUUAUUUAAAAAAAAUUAACUAUUUAAAUUAAUACAGAGCUUAAAUCAAGUAAAUGAUAAAAAAUAAUUGAUACAUCAUAUUCUUUUUUUUAUCCCCUUAUAUCUUUUUGUAAUUUAAUAACAUAAAAAUGCAUGUUAUUAUUUUACCUUUUUAGAACCAAUUUUAAUAAUAUG